UACGUAGGUGACAAGCGUUGUCCGGAUUUACUGGGCGUAAAGAGCGCGCAGGCGGUCGAUCAAGUCGAGUGUGAAAGCCCCCGGCUCAACUGGGGAGGGUCAUUCGAUACUGAUCGACUCGAAGGCAGGAGAGGGUAGUGGAAUUCCCGGUGUAGUGGUGAAAUGCGUAGAUAUCGGGAGGAACACCAGUGGCGAAGGCGGCUCACUGGCCCGGUACUGACGCUGAGGUGCGAAAGCGUGGGGAGCAAACAGGG
rnacentral:rRNA from 1 species